rnacentral:rRNA from 1 species
GGGGAAUUUUCCGCAAUGGGCGAAAGCCUGACGGAGCAAUACCGCGUGAGGGAGGAAGGCUCUUGGGUUGUAAACCUCAAAACUUAGGGAAGAAGAAAGUGACGGUACCUAAUAUAAGCAUCGGCUAACUCCGUGCCAGCAGCCGCGGUAAUACGGAGGAUGCAAGCGUUAUCCGGAAUCAUUGGGCGUAAAGCGUCCGUAGGUGGCGAAUCAAGUCCGCAUUCAAAGACCGAGGCUCAACUUCGGGUAGGGUGUGGAAACUGAAUAGCUAGAGUAUAGGAGGGGCAGAGGGAAUUCCUAGUGUAGCGGUGAAAUGCGUAGAGAUUAGGAAGAACACCAGUGGCGAAGGCGCUCUGCUGGACAUAUACUGACACUGAGAGACGAAAGCUAGGGUAGCGAAAGGGAUUAGAUACCCCUGUAGUCCUAGCGGUAAACGAUGGAUACUAAGUGUAGCGGGUAUAAACUCCGGCUGUGCUGAAGCAAACGCGUUAAGUAUCCCGCCUGGGGAGUACGCACGCAAGUGUGAAACUCAAAGGAAUUGACGGGGACCCGCACAAGCGGUGGAGUAUGUGGUUUAAUUCGAUGCAACGCGAAGAACCUUACCAAGACUUGACAUCCUGCGAAUUUUCUGGAAAGAGAGAAGUGCCUUAGGGAACGCAGAGACAGGUGGUGCAUGGCUGUCGUCAGCUCGUGUCGUGAGAUGUUGGGUUAAGUCCCGCAACGAGCGCAACCCUCGUCCUUAGUUGCCAGCAUUAAGUUGGGGACUCUAGGGAGACCGCCGGGGAGAACUCGGAGGAAGGUGGGGAUGACGUCAAGUCAGCAUGCCCCUUACGUCUUGGGCUACACACGUACUACAAUGGUUAAGACAAAGGGAAGCGAAGCUGCAAAGUGAAGCGAAACCCAGCAAACUUAGCCCCAGUUCAGAUCGUCGGCUGAAACUCGCCGACGUGAAGGAGGAAUCGCUAGUAAUCGCAGGUCAGCAUACUGCGGUGAAUCCGUUCCCGGGUCUUGUACACACCGCCCGUCACACCAUGGAAGUUGGUAACAUCCGAAGUCGUUACUCCAACCGUUUACGGAGGAGGACGCCGAAGGUGGGACUAGUGACUGGGGUGAAGUCGUAACAAGGUAACC